ensembl:snoRNA
UCCUCCUGCAAAGGCGUGUUUUUGGUUCCUUGUCCUUGGACACGUAAGAAUCGGAGGGAAAGAAAUGUGGAUUUGCAAAGAUCUGGGGCCAGCUUGCCCCUCGCAGGCUCUGGAUCAACAGUCCCACAGAG